UCAGUAACGGCGAGUGAAGCGGCAACAGCUCAAUUUGAAAUCUGGCCUCUUUGGGGUCCGAGUUGUAAUUUGUAGAGGAUGUUUCGGGUACCGCCUCGGUCUAAAUUUCUUGGAACAGAAUGUCAGAGAGGGUGAGAAUCCCGUCUUGGACCGGCGGUAGGGCCCAUGUGAAACUCCUUCGACGAGUCGAGUUGUUUG
rnacentral:rRNA from 1 species